CGCUCUCCCCAAAUCGGGACGCCACCACCGUCACCGGGUCACGCCGCCACCACCGCCCUCCCCAGAUCGCCCCACAACCACCGCCGCACUCCACGGUCACACCGCCACCGCCGCUCACUCCCCAAAUUGCGCUGCCACUGCCACCUCGUGCUUCAUCCUUUCUAUUACACCCCUGCUCCUCGACCACCGACGGCGACGCGCAUCCAUCCUCCUCUGCCCCCCACGACCUUCCUUCUCUGCUGCCAUGGCCUUCCUCCUCUCCCACCGCCGGCGUGAGAGCUACGCACGCCACCGCGCACUACCACCUUCCUCCUCCCGGCCGGCCUCCUGGCCCGGGCACCACUGUGCGGAGCAGUGCCACCACGCACAACCUAGUCAUCACUGUCGCCCCUCUUCCUCCAUGAUGUUGUUGCCCUCUUCCUCCAUGCUACUGCCACCUUCGAUCCAGUCCCCUGCGCCUGGCAGUCUCCGCAUUGAGCUACCCCGUGCACAUAAACUGUUUGUGUAUAUACCCCAAACAAAAAGAAGUUCAAAGUUUGAAUCAAAAGGGGGGAAAGAGCUCCAUUUUAUGAAGAAAACUGAAAAGCCAUUGUCACAGGGACAAUCAUGAAGGUCAGAUGUUGAAAAAGUCAGCCAUGCCAGAUACGAUGCUACCUGGGAAAUUGUGAUGCACCUUCGCUUGGUGCCGCCACAGGACCCAGUGCGCCUCCUGUCCUCUGCUUUUCUCUAUGCGCAGCAAUGUGUCUCACCCCGCCGAUUGCCCCUGCUGCUGCUGGGAACAGAGAUGUUCCAUGAAAUCCCACUACAUCUAUACGUCAUCUUCCGAGAUGUUCCGUGAAGUUCUACUACGGUUGUCCGUCACUAUGGUCAUGUGCCAGUAUGGUGUGCUUGGUUCAUGUGUGCCUUGAAAAGAUCAUGUUUACCUUGCUGGAUGUUGGCCAGCUCGCUCUUUGUGUGUGUUGCUGCUGCUCUAACCGCACAUGUAAGCGGCAGCUGCUUCACUCUCCGUGUAUUGAUUUCUCUUGCGCGCCAACGUUGCCGUCUCUCUAAUUGAUUCACAUUUGAUGCGGCGGUAAAGGGAGAUAUUUUGGAUUCCAACUUUUCCUUGUACGUUCAAGUCAGAAGUGAAAAGUAAUUGUAGCAAACUGAAAAAGAAAUGUAUUGUAUGCAUCCCCCACAUGUUUGUAAUAAACUAAAAAACAGAGUAGUUCAAAAAGUUUAAUAAAAAAGGUUUUCCCUGUUUCUAAAAAAA